GACGAACGCUGGCGGCGUGCCUAAUACAUGCAAGUCGAACGAAGCUGUUUUAACUGGUGCUUGCACCGACUUAACCAACUGAGUGGCGAACGGGUGAGUAACACGUGGGUAACCUGCCACAAAGCGGGGGAUAAAAUUUGGAAACAGAUGCGAAUACCGCAUAACCACAGAAACCACAUGGUUUCUGUGUCAAAGCUGGAUUCGGCUAUCACAUCGGGAUGGACCCGCGGCGUAUUAGCUAGUUGGUAAGGUAUGGCUUACCAAGGCAAUGAUACGUAGCCGAACUGAGAGGUUGAUCGGCCACAUUGGGACUGAGACACGGCCCAAACUCCUACGGGAGGCAGCAGUAGGGAAUCUUCCACAAUGGACGAAAGUCUGAUGGAGCAACGCCGCGUGAGUGAAGAAGGUUUUCGGAUCGUAAAACUCUGUUGUCAGAGAAGAACGUGUGCGAGAGUAACUGCUCGUGCAGUGACGGUAUCUGGCCAGAAAGCCACGGCUAACUACGUGCCAGCAGCCGCGGUAA
rnacentral:rRNA from 1 species